rnacentral:ncRNA from 1 species
CAACGAUAAUAUGUUCAAGUCCAUCUUGAAUGGGGCCAUUACACCCAUAGAGGGUGCCAGGCCCGUAGCAGCUAUUAUCAGUAUAAGAAGGCUUUUCCAAAGAGUCGUGUUGCUUGAUAGUGCAGCACUAAGUUGGUGGUAAACUCCAUCUAAGGCUAAAUAUGACCACAAGACCGAUAGCGAACAAGUACCGUGAGGGAAAGUUGAAAAGCACUCUGAAUAGAGAGUUAAAUAGUACGUGAAACCGCUUAGG